rnacentral:lncRNA from 10 species
CUUAUUUAGGAUGAGCCAAGGUCAUCAAGCUUGGGAACUUGCUUUCACAGCUUUCUUCCCUUCAGCAGAGGGAGAAAAGCCAUCCAUCCAGUUUUAGUGGAGGCAAGAAAUUCAGGAGCCAUCAUUCCAAGAAGAACCUCUGCUCUAUCAUUUCACCGCAAAAUUUGAAUAGAGCAACUGAGAAAACAUCUUCUGAGAUUUGGGAAGUUCUCACAUAAUGUGGUUUUGUACCAGUCUUUAAAACCUUCCAGCUACACUGGCCACACUAUAAUUUCAAAUUAAUCUCUCACUGCUCUAGCUCUAUGGCCAUCUUCUUCCUCUGGACCAUUUAAUCGGAAUCUAGAAAAUCCUACCCAGAGAAAGCAGAAAAGAGAGGACAAGAAUCUCCAUUUCUUUGGGUCCAUCACCUGAUGGUCAUCUGAUUUUCUGGUGGAUCAAGGAUCUGAGCGGGUCCUCGGAGAGCAAUACUCAUUGCAACCAAGACCAUUUUCAUGUUAAUCCCCGAGAGAGAGCUGCAGAGACAGACCUGACACUUGGGCCAUCAUAGUGACCUGGCUUCCAUCCAUGACUUUGAGAUCAGAGAGGCCCUGCAGGAAGAUGGGUGCAUUGGGCUUGCUGGGAGCCACAGGCAGAAGGUACUCGCUCUUCCCGCUACUCUUCUUUUCUGUGUGGUAGAAAACAGAGUGUGGGGUGAACGUUCAUGCAUUCAUUCAACAAACACAGACUAAAUGACCACUUGGUACAUGACUGUGUUGAUGCUCAGGUUCCCACCAGAAACUGGCAGCUAACAGAUGAAGAGUGUUUGGAGUUCCUAGAGAUCAUUAGGAACAAGAUGCCUCCAAUUUCUCUGCUUGGCAAUGAUGAGGUUCUUGCCUGAUAGCCAGGAAUGAACAAUGAGUGCCUAUAAGUUUGUGAGUUUUUAAAACAUUUUAUUUAUUUUUCAAAUAAAUGAUACCCUCACAUGGCACAAAAUUCAAAAGAUACCAAAGAGUAUGGCAAGUCUCCCUCCCACCCCAUCCCCUGGCCACCAGUGAUCUCUCCUCAGAGGCAACGAGUUUUCAGUUUCUUGUUCAUCUUGGCAGAGAUGAUCUACGUGUGUAACAUAUGGAAGCAAACAGCAUUUAUUAUCUUCUUAAAAAGUAAAUGAAAGCACGUUAUACAAAAUAAUUGGCAUGUUUUUAACUUAACAGUACGUCUUGGUGUCUCUCAUAAGGCAGAACUGAAACGCUUCUUUGUCAUUUUCUAUAAUUAUAUGGUGCUCCAUUCCCAUCCUAGGAAGUUUUAAGCACCUCAUGAAAGCCAAGGACACUACACUCAUUAGAACGGCUAAAAAUAAAAAGACAUCACAUCCCAAGAAUUGGUCUUGACAAGGAUGUGGAGCAACUUGCAAAUCUCAUAUAUGGCAGGUGGUACAGAACCUCCUGAAAACAGCUUGGCAGUUUCUUAAAAAGUUAAACAUAUACUUCCCUUAGGAUCUAGUCAUGCUACUCCUGGGUAUGUCCCCGAGAGAAAUGCAAGCACAUAUCCAUACAAAGUCGUGUACACAAACUUUCAGAGCAGCUUCAUUCACAAUAGCUGCAAACUAGAAAUGACCCAAAUAUCCAUCAACAGGUGAGUAAAUAAACAAAUUGUGAUAUAUCCACACAAUGGAAUAUUACUCAGCAACAAAAAAGAAUGAACUACUGAGGGCACCACAACAGGGAUGAAUCUCACAAUAAUUAUGUUGAAUGAAAGACACCAAGCUGUAGGACCAGCUACUUGGGAGGCUGAGGUGGGAGGAUCACUUGAGCAUGGGAGGUUGAGACUGCAGUGAGCCAUGAUCACACCACUGCACUCCAGCCUGGAAGACAGAGUACGACUCUGUCUCAAAAGCAAAAACAAACAAACAAAAAAAAAAAAAAAAAGGAAGAAGCUAGACAAAGAGAGAGUACAUACUGGAUGACUCCAUUUAUAUAAAAUUCUAGAAAAUGCAAAGUCCAGUGACAGAAAGCAGGUCAGUAGUGGUGUGGGGCAGGGGACGGGAGGUUGGAUUAUAAAGGGGCAUGAGGAAACAUUUGGAGACAAUGAGAAUUUCACUUUAAAAAAUCAUGGCAAAGGUUUCAUGUGUGUACAUAUGGCAAAACUUAACAAAUUAAAC